CUCUGCCCAAUGAAAUUUUAAAUGGCCGCAGUAUAUUGACUGUGCAAAGGUAGCAAAAUAAAUAGCUUUUUAAUUGAAGGCUGGUAUGAAGGAGUGGAUGAAAUUAAAACUGUCUCAAUUUGAAUAAUAGAAUUUUAUUUUAAGUGAAAAAUCUUAAAUAAAAUUAAGGGACGAGAAGACCCUAUAGAAUUUGAAAAUUUUUAUUAUAAGAAAAAUUUAAGAAUUUAAAAAUUUAUAAUAAAAAUUUUUUUAUUGGGAAGAUAAUUAAAUUUAAUAAACUUUGAUUUAAAUAAAUCAUAAAUUAAUGUAUUAAAAAAAAAUUUUUUUAUUUAAAUAAGAUAAAAUUACCUUAGGGAUAACAGCGUAAUAAAUUUUUAGAGUUCAUAUUAAAAAAUUUGUUUGCGACCUCGAUGUUGAAUUAAAAUAAAAUUUAAGUGUAGAAGCUUAAUAUUUAAGUCU
rnacentral:rRNA from 1 species